AAGAUGGUGUCCACACCUAAGUUUCUUGGACUUUUGCUUUUCUGGAUUUCAGCUUCUAGAGGUGACAUUGCAAUGACUCAGUCUCCAGCCACCCUAUCUGUGACUCCAGGAGAUAGUGUCAGUCUCUCCUGUAAGGCCAGCCAGAGUAUUAGCAACUACCUAAACUGGUAUCAGCAAAAAUCACAUGGGUCUCCAAGGCUUCUCAUCAAGCGUGCUUCACAGACUGAGUCCGGGAUCCCCUCCAGGUUUAGUGGCAGUGGAUCGGGGACAGAUUUCACUCUUCAUAUCAACAGUGUGGACCCAGAUGAUUUUGGAAUGUAUUACUGUCAACAAGGUUACAGUGGGCCUCCCACAGUGACACAGACCAUAGCAAAAACCAACAUGAAAGAAGAAGUGUGA